rnacentral:tRNA from 1 species
AUUUAAGUAGUUUAUGAAAAAAUUCUGGUUUGUGGGGUCAGAGAUGUAAAAUUUUUACCUUAGAUC